rnacentral:rRNA from 1 species
GAUGAACGCUGGCGGCGUGCCUAAUACAUGCAAGUCGAGCGAACAGACGAGGAGCUUGCUCCUUUGACGUUAGCGGCGGACGGGUGAGUAACACGUAGGUAACCUACCUAUAAGACUGGGAUAACUUCGGGAAACCGGAGCUAAUACCGGAUAAUAUUUCGAACCGCAUGGUUCGAUAGUGAAAGAUGGCUUUGCUAUCACUUAUAGAUGGACCUGCGCCGUAUUAGCUAGUUGGUAAGGUAACGGCUUACCAAGGCAACGAUACGUAGCCGACCUGAGAGGGUGAUCGGCCACACUGGAACUGAGACACGGUCCAGACUCCUACGGGAGACAGCAGUAGGGAAUCUUCCGCAAUGGGCGAAAGCCUGACGGAGCAACGCCGCGUGAGUGAUGAAGGUCUUCGGAUCGUAAAACUCUGUUAUUAGGGAAGAACAAACGUGUAAGUAACUGUGCACGUCUUGACGGUACCUAAUCAGAAAGCCACGGCUAACUACGUG